rnacentral:rRNA from 1 species
AUGCAGUCGAACGGUAACAGGUCUUCGGACGCUGACGAGUGGCGAACGGGUGAGUAAUACAUCGGAACGUGCCCAGUCGUGGGGGAUAACUACUCGAAAGAGUAGCUAAUACCGCAUACGAUCUGAGGAUGAAAGCGGGGGACCUUCGGGCCUCGCGCGAUUGGAGCGGCCGAUGGCAGAUUAGGUAGUUGGUGGGAUAAAAGCUUACCAAGCCGACGAUCUGUAGCUGGUCUGAGAGGACGACCAGCCACACUGGGACUGAGACACGGCCCAGACUCCUACGGGAGGCAGCAGUGGGGAAUUUUGGACAAUGGGCGAAAGCCUGAUCCAGCAAUGCCGCGUGCAGGAUGAAGGCCUUCGGGUUGUAAACUGCUUUUGUACGGAACGAAAAAGCUCCUUCUAAUACAGGGGGCCCAUGACGGUACCGUAAGAAUAAGCACCGGCUAACUACGUGCCAGCAGCCGCGGUAAUACGUAGGGUGCGAGCGUUAAUCGGAAUUACUGGGCGUAAAGCGUGCGCAGGCGGUUAUGUAAGACAGAUGUGAAAUCCCCGGGCUCAACCUGGGAACUGCAUUUGUGACUGCAUGGCUAGAGUACGGUAGAGGGGGAUGGAAUUCCGCGUGUAGCAGUGAAAUGCGUAGAUAUGCGGAGGAACACCGAUGGCGAAGGCAAUCCCCUGGACCUGUACUGACGCUCAUGCACGAAAGCGUGGGGAGCAACAGGAUUAGAUACCCUGG